GCACAUAAUACGAUUAGACAUAAUACAUCUAAAAUUUAUAUACACUCAUAAAACUUGUAAUUAAAUUUUUUUUUUUUUUAUAGAGACAAACUAUUAAACAGCAUAAAGACUUUUUAGAUAACGAAUAUAAAGAGGUGAUUUUUUAUUUUAUUUUUUUUUUUAUUUCUAUAUUAAUGCACUGAUGUUAUCAUUUGUGUUACAUAUAUAUAAUUACACAUAUUAAAAAUAUAUAGUUGAUAUAUUUUAUAUACAAAUCAUUUUACCUUAGUGGUCAGGCGUUCAACAAAAGACUGUUUCUGAAUUUAAAAAAAACAUAGGCGCACAUGUUUCUGAGUUAAAUGAAAAAGAAUACUUAAUAUUAUCCAAAAAAAUUUGUGAAGAUUUAAAAGAAAAAAAUUUAGAAGAAGUUAACAUAAACUUUAUACUAUACUUACUUGUAACAAAACAUGAAAUAAGUAUUGGAAGCGGUAUAUUGGAAUAUUUAAAAGACUGUUAUGCAUCUAUAAACGCAGAUCAAUCAUUAAAUAAAACAAUAGAGAAAAUAAAUGAAGCAAAUAAAAACAUUGAGGAUUUAGGAGGAAAAACAGGGAUGUGGACUGAAGAUGAUAAUAACUAUUUUAUUAGCGUAUAUGAAAAUAAUUCUAAGCUAGGAGACAACGUACUUUUGAAAUGGAAAAUAUUUUAUGUUUUUAUUUCUUAUAUUUAUAAAAAUAUAAA
rnacentral:lncRNA from 1 species